rnacentral:piRNA from 1 species
UUGUCUUCGAAGCUAUCAGGGAACUGCGGGU